ACAAGUCUUGUUACAAUUCUUUAUGAAACAAAAAUAGACCAAAGUAAUGUAGUCAUUCCAAGAAGCAAGAAUGCAUUCUUUCUUGAUUUGAAAAAUUCAAGAACAGAAUUUAAGAAAUUCGUUCAGUACCUCAACAAGCAAGAAACUUGAAGUUUCGUUCAAGAAUUUCGAAGAAGCAGAAGCUAAUCUCGUUCAACAAUUUCAAAAAAAAAGCAGAAGCUUAAUCCGAUUUUGGGGGUUCUAAGUUCAAUCCACGAAGGUAAAGAAAUGUUAGACGUAGUUUUCCCUACUCCAGGUAUGUUAAGGUCAUCCCUUCGUUCUUUUGGCAUGGUCUAAAUUAUACAGAAGAAAUCAGCAAACGCACAGUUUCUAUAAAUUACUCUAUUUAUAGAAAUACUAGGGAUGUCUAUAUUCUUGAUUCCCUAUGAGAAUUAUUAUUAUCUUCUGUUCAUGAGUCUCAGAAUAAUACGCAGUUGAAAAGGGUUAUCCAGAAGGAAUGUUGAGAUUAUUACGUAUUUUUCAUGCAUUUCACCCAUUUAUACAUGUGCACUGACCUAUGACGAGAUGACGUUAUAUACGCGUAUAUAUGUAAAUAUAUGUAUAUGGGAUAUGAAAAAAAGUUAUGGCGUUAUAUACGCACCACCACCUCAUCAGCUGGUAUAUGUUGAUGAUAUUGCCCACAUUGGCCGAGACGAUAUGAUGGGAUGCCCUCAGUGGCUUGAUGAUACUGUGCACAUUCAUACCUAUACAUAGCACGACAUUUAUACGCGUGUGCAUGACGUUAUAAAUGUUUCAAAAUUUACAAAGUAUUCAGGUUUAAAGAUGUGUUUCCUUAUUCCAUGUUUCAUCUACGUCUUUUACGUACUAAUUUUCAUGCCUUACGUACUCAGUACAUUUAUCGUACUGACACCCUAUUUCAUGGGGCCUGCAUUUCAUGCCCGCAGGUGCAGGUAGGAAAGCUGACAGCCCCACUUCUUAAGAUCCUUGAUCAGCGAGAGUUGACGUACUCCACUUGAUCCGGAGCUGCUUUUGAUUUUGGUACGAUAUAUUUGUGUGUGUGUGUGUGUAUAUAUAUAUAUAUAUAUGGGUAUGACGUGGCUCAGUCCCGUCUUUAUACAGUUAUAUUUCUAUUAGAGGUCUGUAGACAGUAUGUCUAAUUGGGUUGUAUGUGGCCUUGUCGGCUUUCAAUUUUGGAUGUAUAGUUGUCUAUAGCAGCCUUGCCGGCUCACCCAUUGUAUUCUGCAUAUAUACGUACAUAUGCCUUGUUGGCAGGUUUCCUUCAUGUAUGUUAUUUUCUUAAUUCAGCAGAUGUUAUUCAGGUUCAUAUCUUAGACACAUGCUUAGGGGUGUUUGACAGGUAGGACUCAGGCACCUAUUACGGUUCAUCGGUUUGGGUCGUGUCAUCUUCUAUUCCCUUUUUCCCUAAAUAUUAGAAAAAGAUUAUAGUUAUUAAGACUGUUCAUUUGGAUCGGAUAUUCAAAAUCCGAACCAAUCUGCUCAAUUUCGGAUUUUAGAUUAUAUUUAUUAAAAUUUCGGAUAUUUGGAUCGGAUUCAAAUUGGUAUAAUUUUAACCAUAUCCGAUCCGAAAUCCGAAAUUAUUUAGGUGUAUAUAAAUACUAA
rnacentral:lncRNA from 1 species